GGCCAGACCACCUCUGAGGUUCCAGCGCAAACACUGUUUUGUUUUGUUCUUCUGACUGAAAGUCUGAGAGACUGAAAGCCUGGGAGAAGGAGGCUACCAGGGGAACAGAAGGAGGUGGACAGAGGAGCUCCCUGGCUGGAACAUCCUUAUAGCUUCCGGACUCUGAAGAAAACUUCUCUCUGUCCACGAAUGUAGCAACUCUCCAAGCAGAUUGGUCAGUUCUGGCCUCUCCUAGGCUCUCCCCUGGGAUUCCAGCCCAGUUGUGUAGUGCCAGGCCUCAGCUGCUCUCCAUGACCCUCGUGCCUGCGAAACCGGCGCCCCCUGGAUGACUCUUAAACUUUACCAAGUUCAGCUGCCAGCAUGCGAUGAAGCCCGGAUCUCACCUCGGUGAUGCUGGCCUCGUCUUAACCAUCCCCAGCUGACCGCCUUCAUCUGUCGUAGCAAAGCAAAGGUUUCACUUUGAGUUAGUGGUGACUAUGUUAUGGCUAGUUUAGAGAGGCUUUUGAACUUUCAAAGAGACUUCGGGUGUUUUAAAGAGAUAGAACUUUUAAAGCUUGAAUUUUUAAAGACAAUGAGACUUUCAGAAGUUGGAAUGGGGGGCUGGAGAGAUGGCUCAGCAGUUUAAGCACACCUGCUGUGCUCACAGAGCAUCCCAGCACCUGCAGCUGCUGGUAACUCCAGUUCCUGGGCCUCAGAUGCCCUCUUCUGACCUCCAGGGACCUCUGAACACAAUGUUGCGCAUACACACACUCCACCACACACAUACAAUAAAAUAAAUGAAUAGAUCUUAA